GGGAGGGAAUCGCAGGCAUGAGCGGUGAGUUUAAGAGUGAGAGGAAGAGCCAUCUGACAAUCAGACAGAGGAGCAUCAAGAGAGCUGAACACAUCUGUGGUCAUAUUCUAGCUUUGGAAAACUGAGUUACUGAAGCUUGAGACAUGCGUCCAGCUGUGCUAAAUGCCAUCCUCCUGUUGGUGUGCGCCAUGGCCACUGUCACAUAAGGACGUAAUCAUCAUUCAGUUGAGGUAGAAUGUGAAAGUUAUUCAGAUAAGCCAUGCGGAGAAGGAUGAAGCCACAUUGAUGAGAGUCGAUGUGCUAAAUACAACAGCGAAAAGAAUUUCCAAGAGGCACAGGUGAAGCAAACACACACAGGCAUCAGAAGAGCGAUAAUAAAUCCAUCAUCAUAUAUAAUACGUUUUGAUCAGGUGCUGGUGAACACUAACACUUGCUCAAAUUUGUUGAUUUUAGGAACACUGCAGAACCUUAAAUUCUGACCUGGCGUUAAUGGCGCAUUAUAAAAAACAUCAAUUGACUAAUUUUAUUGCAGACUUGGAGCAGAGAGGGGGACAUGGACAUAAGUGUGGACGUGAUAAGAGAACUGUCUCUGUUACUCUGCAGCUCUGUGGU